ACACUCCUACGGGAGGCAGCAGUGGGGAAUAUUGGACAAUGGGCGCAAGCCUGAUCCAGCCAUGCCGCGUGAGUGAUGAAGGCCCUAGGGUUGUAAAGCUCUUUCACCGGUGAAGAUAAUGACGGUAACCGGAGAAGAGGCCCCGGCUAACUUCGUGCCAGCAGCCGCGGUAAUACGAAGGGGGCUAGCGUUGUUCGGAUUUACUGGGCGUAAAGCGCACGUAGGCGGACUAUUAAGUCAGGGGUGAAAUCCCGGGGCUCAACCCCGGAACUGCCUUUGAUACUGGUAGUCUUGAGUUCGAGAGAGGUGAGUGGAAUUCCGAGUGUAGAGGUGAAAUUCGUAGAUAUUCGGAGGAACACCAGUGGCGAAGGCGGCUCACUGGCUCGAUACUGACGCUGAGGUGCGAAAGCGUGGGGAGCAAACAGGAUUAGAUACCCUUGUAGUCCCA
rnacentral:rRNA from 1 species